UGACAGAGUGAGAACCUGUCUCAAAAACAAAAACAAAGCCAAAAUCCAAAAGAAAAGGGUUUGGAUAGCUUCCAAAUUGCUGAACAUGUGGACAUGCCUAGAAGGUGGGGCACCCAGAAACGGUGUGGAAGCUCUGGACUUCUGCUGGCCUUUUUCCAUAUGCAUCUCUUCCAUCUGGCUGUUCAUCUGUAUACUUUAUUAUAUCCUUUAUUAAUAAACUGGAAAACAUAAGUAAAGUGUUUCCCUGGGUUCAGUGAUCUGCUCUAAGCAAAUUAAUCAAACCUGAAGAGGCAGGCAUAGAGACCCCGAUUUACAGUGGGUUGGUCAGAAGUACAGGUCACAACCUGAAGCUUGUGAUUGGCAUCGGAAGUGGGAGACAGUCUUGGAGGAUUGAACCAUUAAACUGCGGGAUCUGAUGCUAUCUCCAAGUAAAUAGUGUUAGAAUUGAAUUAAGUUAUAGGACCCCCAGCUGAUGUCUGCUGGAGAAUUGCUUGGUGUGUGGGAAAAACCCCCAUGCAUCUGGUCACAGAAGCUUUCUGUGUUAUACUGAGUGAAUGUAAGAGUAAGAAAAGCACUUUGGGUGAGGUGCAGUGCCUCAUGCCUGUAAUCCCAGCAAUUUGAGAGGCUGAGACAGGCAGAUCACUUGAGGCCAGGAGUUUGAGAACAGCCUGGCCACCAUGGCGAAACCCUGUCUCUAUAAAGAAACAAAACUAAGAAAAAAUUUAAAAAGAAAAGCAUUUUGAUUUUUUCCCCCAUCUCUAUUAGAUGGUGUGAAUGUACCUGGUCUCCACGCUUUUUGAAUUGUGUCUAUCAGCAAUACAAUUUUGAACUGAAAUCCCUAACAUAAGAAAUGUACACAAAACUACAGAAACUUAAAAGGACGAAAUAAAAUAUACAAAUAGAUGUUCUAAUAUUCCCACACCCCUUGGAAGGUCAUGUGUACCUGCUGUCCAUGCACCCCAUUUUGGAGGACACUAAUGGAAGAGUAAAGGCAGUGUUUAUAUCUGUAGUGUGAAGAGGCCCAGGACUGCUUCAGAUGAUCUCUACACCUGGAAUCUGACCUGAAAUAAACUCUGAUCUGAAAUCAGAUCUGAAAUCUGUAAUUAAGAAUCUGACUGAAUUUAUGUUUGACUGCUGGUGGCUUUUAAGCCUUAUCCCACCCCUUGUCCCCUUAUGCCCUACACCUCUGGCAAGCUAAGAAAGCCUGAGUGCUCGCCAGACAUGGUGGCCCAUGCCUGUAAUCCCAGCACUUUGAGAGGCCGAGGCAGGAAGAUGACUUGAGCCCAGCCUAGGCAACAUAGUGAGACACCAUCUCUUUAAAAAAAUAAAGCAAGCCAGCCUGGGUGUUUCCUUCUUUGAUACCAGUGGGAAAUUCAAACCACAUGCAAGAAACAUCACUCUGGCCCUACUCCCUAACCACCAAAAAACUCCAAGUCAGUCUCCUUCUCUGUUGUCAAAUCCUGCUUAGGAGCUGCC
rnacentral:lncRNA from 1 species